rnacentral:rRNA from 1 species
AUUGAACGAUGGCGGCAGGCCUAACACAUGCAAGUAGAGCGAGCGGCGGCCGGGUGAGUAACAUCUGCGAAACUGGCUGAUGGAGGGGGAGAACUCCUGGAAACGGGAGCAAAUACCGCAUACCAUCAGAUGUGCCCCGAUGGGAUUAGCUAGUAGGUGGGGUAAUGGCACACCUAGGCGACGAUCCCUAGCUGGUCUGAGAGGAUGACCAGCCACCCUGGACCGGAGACACGGUCCAUACUCCUACGGCAGGCAGCAUGGGGGAAUAUCGCACAAUGUGAGCAAGCCUGCUGCAGCCAUGCCGCGUGUGUGAAGAAGGCCUUCGGGUUGUAAAGCACUUUCAGCGGGGAGGCGUUACCCGCAGAAGAAGCACCUUCUAACUCCGUGCCAGCAGCCGCGGUAAUUC